AACGCUAGCUACAGGCUUAACACAUGCAAGUCGGGGGGUAGCAGGGUAGCAAUACCGCUGACGACCGGCGCACGGGUGAGUAACGCGUAUCCAACCUGCCCAUCACUUGGGGAUAACCUUGCGAAAGUAAGACUAAUACCCAAUGAUAUCUCUAGAAGACAUCUGAAGGAGAUUAAAGAUUUAUCGGUGAUGGAUGGGGAUGCGUCUGAUUAGUUUGUUGGCGGGGUAACGGCCCACCAAGGCUACGAUCAGUAGGGGUUCUGAGAGGAAGGUCCCCCACAUUGGAACUGAGACACGGUCCAAACUCCUACGGGAGGCAGCAGUGAGGAAUAUUGGUCAAUGGGCGAGAGCCUGAACCAGCCAAGUAGCGUGCAGGAUGACGGCCCUAUGGGUUGUAAACUGCUUUUAUAAGGGAAUAAAGUGAGCCUCGUGAGGCUUUUUGCAUGUACCUUAUGAAUAAGGACCGGCUAAUUCCGUGCCAGCAGCCGCGGUAAUACGGAAGGUCCGGGCGUUAUCCGGAUUUAUUGGGUUUAAAGGGAGCGUAGGCCGGAGAUUAAGCGUGUUGUGAAAUGUAGAUGCUCAACAUCUGCACUGCAGCGCGAACUGGUUUCCUUGAGUACGCACAAAGUGGGCGGAAUUCGUGGUGUAGCGGUGAAAUGCUUAGAUAUCACGAAGAACUCCGAUUG
rnacentral:rRNA from 1 species